rnacentral:lncRNA from 1 species
AUUCUUCGAACCCACAAAAAGUAUGAAUCAAUUAAUCCCUAGAAGGUUCUUCUCGUGUUGAGGGAGUUUUUAGGAUCCAUGGUUUAUAUCUUGUUGAAGGCUUUAUGAGGGUGCAAUUUUUUUGAGGCUUUGAGAGGGUUUCGAGGCUUCAAGUUCCGGGCAUUUGGGACAAACUCCUCCUCCUGUUCACCACCUUCAACUGAGUUGCACUCAGUUUGUAGCGGUGCCUGAUCAUAAGGCACAUAUUUCUCCUUCGCGUUCUCCAUCAAUUUGAUGUAAUGUUUCGCUCUUAGUAUUGGAGGUCCCCCCUCAGGUCUGAUACAUUUAGAUCCAUCUACAAACAAAUAAGAGUACAUUAAUAUCCAGGCAAUUAUUAUAAUAUCCAUUUAGAUGAGCUACAAACAAAUAAGACUAUACGAAUUAAUUACUAACCAACUCCUAUUCUUUACAGUAUCAUUAUAAUAUGUCAUUAUUUCUUUCGUGUAAUCUGCCAUUUGGUAUUGUUUGAUGGGUUUUGUGGGUGAAUUUAGAGAGAUUGAUGGGUUCUUGGGUGAUUUUAGGGAGGGAUUAAUAGGUUUUUGGGGGUGAUUUUAGAGAUAUUGAUGGGUUCUUGUUAUAAUUUCGAGAGAGAAAUUAAAUUUAUUCUUUUAUUUAUUUUCAUUUAUUAUGUUAUAAAAUAUUAUAACAUAAACUAUUUUCUUUGUAUUUUAAUAAUUGGUCUUAAUGAAUGUUUAAAAAAAAAAUUGUUUUGUAUUUUAAUGUAUUAAUACUUGUAUUGACAAAUUUGCCAUUAAAAAAAUGGGUCAGGUCAGACUUUGAGGCGGAUUUAAGUGAAAAUUGAGAAUGGACAGAAUUGACACCAACUUGCUAUUUUAAGAACUCAGUUGAUGAACAAUGAAUUUUAAAGAUGAUUUUGACAUUCGAUAACAACUUAAAAGGAUAAAAGUGUCAUUCAGACUUUUAAAAAUCUAAGAGUUUAAGAGUAGAAAACCAAAAUAUCUAUGUGAACAGACUCUAGUGGUGGUAAAUGGUAUGGGAAGAAAGUGACAGAAUAUGCAGGACAAGAAAACAAGCGUGAGAGAAGAAAAAUAGACAAAAAAUGAUAAAGAGGGAAAAAAAGAAACUACUCAAAAAAAAAGCGGCGUUGUGCUUAUCUUUAUUGCUAUGUUGAUAUCAAUUCUCAAAAAAUAUCUAACAAAAAGUCAUAUUACAAGCAAAUUUAAGUAAAAAUAAAAUACUCAAAAUUAAUGAAUAUACAAUUCUUACCCGAAUAGCCACAAUUAACAUCACCUCUAAUGAAAUGCCAUGAGCAACAACCUUAACAGCAACAUAAUGAAAUUGAUCAAAAUGUGUGUACACAAUAACCUACACAUCCAGAUGAAAGAAGAGAGAGAUUUUAAAAAAUAGAAUUAAAAGCUAUAUUGGGGAAAAAAAUCUUGUACUUAACUUCAACAAAUUUAGCACAUACACAUUUUACCUGUACUGGAUAAAUUUUAGGAUUCAAAAUUUUUAUCCAACUUGGUCUUUUCGGGGUCGCAAAGCUGGUGAGCGCUCUCUCCUUUUCUAGCCUCAUACUUUUAUGGUUGUUUUCACCCAGCCCAACACUUCAAUGAUUAAACAAAAUCAUCAUUUCACUUCAUUAUCCCCUGCAAAAUAAUCAUUUAUGUAUUCGUAGGACACUUAUAUUUUAAUUCAAAAUAUGAUGUACAUCAUCAAAUAAACCAAAAAAAAUGAUCAUAUAAAUACAUCAACAUAUAUAGAAAAUAUGCAAAUACAUAUAGAUAUAUUGAAAAUACAUCCAAUAAAAUUGAUAUGAUUUAUUGAGGACUCUAAUAAGCUGGGAGAGAGAGCUACCGAAUGUUAUAGGUAGAUCAUUCCAAAAGAAAAUGACAUUAUUUUAGAAGAAAGAAUAUGUGAGAUGGGGAGAUGGGGAGA